AAAGAGUACAUGAUUAUGCAGAGGAACAUGUCUCACACACUGCUCUCUGCCUGCUGCAUGUUAAUGUUUGUAUAUCUCUGGAAUAGAUGAUUCAUAUUUAACUAGUGAUAUUAACAAGGGGACAUUGCUCCCAGGCACGUGAUGCUUCAGACCUGGCGGGACAACAGGGAUUGGAGAAGAGCUGACUGUGCGUUCAGUUAGGUUGUCGGUCAUUUAUAGAUCGGCCUGUUUCCACCGUAUUUUAUUCUCUGCACCAAACCAUCAUCUGUUUUCUGAUUGUUCCCACGGGAUCUAGAAAGCACCUCAAGUCCUUUCAGACCCAUUCAGAUGGUGAAGAAGUCGUCACCCUGCUCAGAAGUCACACCACCUUUCUUGGCCCAAACAAAUUUCCAGGAGGAAACAGUGCCCAGUCCGUGGACCAGCCUGAUGCUCAUGUCACGCUCUCUGAAGGAGCCUCCCUGGAGCUCAGAUGCAGUUAUUCAUACAGUGCAGCACCUUACCUCUUCUGAUGAUGAAGCACAGAACCCUGACAAUGUAUCAUGAAGAUAAAAGCUCAAAAUGAAUUAGACUUGAACCUAAGACCCACAACUCUAAAACCACUGAAGAAGAUAUGGAGGGAAAGCAUCAUUGCUUUGGUAUUGGAAAUGACUUUGGUGUCAAGAGCACAAGCAAGAACAGCAAAACUCCACAAGUACAACUGCAUAAAAUGUAGAAGCCUUGUUGGAGGAAGUGUGCCACUGUGUAAGUGGACUUUGAAGUCUCCUAUGCUCAGGUUCUGCCCAGUGUGGGAUGACAGUCUUUUCCUGGCUGCCUGCAGAAAACACUCUCCUUCUGGUUACCAAGAUCAAGAUGUAGAGCUCUCAGCUCCUUCCCCAGCACCAUGUCUGCUUGCAUGCUGCCAUACUUCCCACCAUGAUGAGAAUGGAUUAAACCUCUGAAACUUUAAGCCAUCCCCAACUGAAUGUUUGCCUUUAUAAGAGUUGCCUUAGUCAUGGUGUCUCUUCACAGCAAUGAAACCCUAACUAAGACAGCCUCCAAACCUCAGAAUUAAAAACAUAUACAAUAAGAAAAGUAUUUUCAAACUGCCUAUCUUACAAGAGAUUGAUGCUAAGUAUAUACAAGGAACUCUCUAACAAAGCACUAAAAGGCAAUCCGGUUUUAAUGCUAAAGAUCAUAGAAGGAAACCUCCCAUAAGAAAACAUGUGAAUAGCCAAUAGUUGUACAAAGAGGUACUCAAAACAGAUCAGCAAUAAGAAAAUGCAAGACUAAGUUGCAGUGGUAUAUCACAUUACAAACAGCAAGGCUAUGGCAAAGCUUGGACCCUUGCACGCUGUUGUUGAGAACACAAUGUAGCUGCUAGACAUCAUGAGUGUCUCAAAAAGUAAAAAAUAGAGCUGCAGGCUUAGGUUCUUUAAACCCUACUUUUAGUAAGGGCUCUCAAAUGCUUUGAGCCCCCUUCUAGCCCACCAUCCAAAGGUAAGGGAGAAAAGAUGCUAAAUAGGACAAGGGGGUGUGUACCUGUUUAGAAAUAGUUCUUUCAAGUGAUUCCAAUCUGUCAGGAUACCAGCAGUCCAGUUAACGUAGUGUCAGGAUACCAAACAUGUCAGCAGCAGUGGUGGCAUGAUCCAGCAGAAACAGCCAGGCCUCCACUGAAUCCUCAUGAGUCAGAGAAAACCAGAACCAGCUGGGACACUCUCAAUAAAGUGAAGCAUUGCAAGGCUAGCAUCAUAUUCAAGCACCCUGCCACUGUCCAUUGAGUCCUAUUUAUACUCCCUCCGAACAUCACUUGUCCUCCCACAAGUCUUGCUCAGCAAAAUACCAUGUGAGUCUGUAUCCUAUGACAUAACCAGAAACGUCUACUUCAUAGGACUAUCACAUCAUUCAGCAAGCCAAGGUUUAGAAGUACAUCUGAAAGGGCUGAAAUCAUGCUCUCAGCUUUAGUCUCUUUAUAAUAUGUAUAUAAAGUCUGCAUUCCCCUGAUUCACUGUGCAUACCACACUAAUUUCUCUUUUUGAGAUGUCUAAAUUGCAUAUCAUUGUAUUCUGACAUUUUUGAGGUCUGAAGAUAGAAGACAUCUGAGACCUAAGGAGAGGAGAGUAAAAGGAUCUAAGAAGAGCUGGGUAAGGAGAAUGUUAAGGAAAGGGGGAUAAGGAGAGAGAGUGCGUGAAGGUGCCCUCUUCUCUGUGUCCUUAGUAUUUACACAUAUUUCAAAAUACACGAUCACAUGUUUAAAAGUUCAACCCAAGUUUACACAUAAGUUCAGAUAUAAAUUAAAUAAGAAGUUUGCAACACAGAACGUUUACAUGCAUAUCCAUUAAGAGUAAGUGUCUGGUUAAACAUUCAUCGCAUGUCACAGCUCCACAGGUUCAUGGAGAAUUGAUUGGAUCCUUAGAAGUUAGAAGACCCACAUGUUCUGGUGGCAGCCUAUAUAAAAGAAUAUGGAAAAAGAAGUGUUUAGCUAUUUCUGCUCAUCUUUGUUUUCUCGGGAAAGUUCAUCUAUCUUGCCUAUAAGGCAUUCCUUAAAUGAUACGAGAGCCUAAUUCUUUGGGAUUCCAGCUGAAGAUCAGCUGAGACAUCUAGACUCACAGACUGAAUGAACACCUACUGUAUAGUUGAAAUUUUUUAUCAUGAGAUGGCCAUUCUUGGAAUAACUGAGUCACAGACUAUAAACCACUCUGAUAAAUCUUUCAAUAGAUAGAGAUUUAUUUUAGCUGUACUGUUCUCUAAAUAACCCUGACUAUACAAUAACCUGUCACUUUAAUGGACUUAAGGAUAGAAAUCACAGAACCAUCUCCAUAAACAAAGACAUUUGACAAACCAAAUUUCCUUUCAUGACUAAAGAACUAGGAGUAGGAGCUUCCUCCACAUAUUAAGAACCACACGUGACAAACCUAAAUCCAGUGUCAUACUGAGUGGUGAAAACUCAAAACGUUGGAAUUAAAUUCAAAAGCAAAGCAAAAAUGCCUUCUUGCUCUGCUCUUAGUUAACCAAAACACAAACAAACAAAACGCCAGCCCGCUAUAGCAAUAGG
rnacentral:lncRNA from 1 species